GCAAGCCAGGAAGGAGGGGGCAGCCAGAGUGUUCUCUGCAGCAGAAGACCCCUUGCUGCCCUGCUUAACCCAGACCAGCAUUUGCCAGUGGGAUGAAAGCUGGAAACAUUGGAGAAGAGCUCGAUUGGGACAAGGGAUGAAGCCCCAGGACUAGAAAAGGAGAGCAGAGGGAGAAAGAUCCAUAGGGAAGGAUUAAAAGGACUGAAAUGUGCAACUCCUAAAUACUAGAUUCCUUUAAAAAUGAUUCCUUACAUAUCCUUUGGUCACUUCUGGUGAAGAAGAAUAUUUUUUUUUGACAGCUGGAAGUUUGGGGCACAAUUUUUCACUGAAGACAAUAGACUGCACUGCACCAGGAUAGAGUAUGGAUUGCCUCCACAGCCACAGAGGAAAGAAGCCAAUAAAACUUAGGAGCAACACGUUAGCACUAUUCAGACAUGCCACCCUGAAUUCCGGAUAUUUGUACACACCUGUGUUUUCUUUUGUAAAUAAAUGCACCAGCAAUUUGUCCCUUU